rnacentral:rRNA from 1 species
UACGUAGGGUGCGAGCGUUGUCCGGAAUUAUUGGGCGUAAAGGGCUCGUAGGCGGUUUGUCGCGUCUGCUGUGAAAACGCGAGGCUCAACCUCGCGCCUGCAGUGGGUACGGGCAGACUAGAGUGCGGUAGGGGAGAUUGGAAUUCCUGGUGUAGCGGUGGAAUGCGCAGAUAUCAGGAGGAACACCGAUGGCGAAGGCAGAUCUCUGGGCCGUAACUGACGCUGAGGAGCGAAAGCGUGGGGAGCGAACAGG